rnacentral:rRNA from 1 species
UGGGGAAUAUUGGACAAUGGGCGCAAGCCUGAUCCAGCCAUGCCGCGUGAGUGAAGAAGGCCCUCGGGUUGUAAAGCUCUUUUGUCCGGAAAGAAAAGCAUUCGGUUAAUACCCGGGUGUUCUGACGGUACCGGAAGAAUAAGCACCGGCUAACUUCGUGCCAGCAGCCGCGGUAAUACGAAGGGUGCAAGCGUUACUCGGAAUUACUGGGCGUAAAGCGUGCGUAGGUGGUUUGUUAAGUCUGAUGUGAAAGCCCUGGGCUCAACCUGGGAAUGGCAUUGGAUACUGGCAGGCUAGAGUGUGGCAGAGGGUAGUGGAAUUCCUGGUGUAGCAGUGAAAUGCGUAGAGAUCAGGAGGAACAUCCGUGGCGAAGGCGACUGCCUGGGCCAACACUGACACUGAGGCACGAAAGCGUGGGGAGCAAACAGG